GAACGAGAAAGUGGAGCAAUCCAUGAGUAAAGUGGCGACCGGGUGAGUAACACGUGACUAACCUACCUUUCAGUGGGGAAUAACCUCGGGAAACCGGGGCUAAUACCGCAUAACGUCUACGGACCAAAGGAGCAAUUCGCUGAAAGAGGGGGUCGCGGCCGAUUAGCUAGUUGGCGGGGUAACGGCCCACCAAGGCAAUGAUCGGUAGCCGGCCUGAGAGGGCGCACGGCCACACUGGAACUGAAACACGGUCCAGACUCCUACGGGAGGCAGCAGUGGGGAAUUUUGCGCAAUGGGGGAAACCCUGACGCAGCAACGCCGCGUGGAGGAUGAAGCCCCUUGGGGUGUAAACUCCUUUCGAUCGGGACGAUAAUGACGGUACCGGAUGAAGAAGCACCGGCUAACUCUGUG
rnacentral:rRNA from 1 species